CGGUGAAAGAGCUAAUGGACCUCUGGCCUGCUCUUCAUAUGCAGUCUGAGGUAUAUGCAGAGUUCCAACGGAUAACUAACCAGAACCUACCUAACACUUUCUAUGCCGAGCUUGAUCGCCACACUCCUCGUUUGAUGGCCUUAUUUAGACAGAAAGCUUCCAAAACUGGAAAGACUGCAGAUGCUUUGGCAAACAUUUUCAAAGUCCAUGAUACACAGGAAUUACAUGAUGUCCACACAAGGCGUACCACUGUUCUCCAUGCCCUUCCUGU